GAUAGUCCUAUGAGAAACUGAAGUGGUGAGGAGAUGAGGGACACAGCCAGAGUCCAGCCUCCCAGGAUCUAUCACCGGGGACCCUCUGUCUGUACCAGCCCACGGGGACCCUGGCUGUCUGCUCCUAGUGAGGAGAGGCCCAGCCUGACAGUCCCCAAAUCCCAGAAUCAAGGCCCUCCUUGCUCACAGCUCUGUUUCUGCCUGGGACUUUGGUCAGGAUCCCCAGGCUGCUGGGGAGGCCCGGCACCUCAAUCACGCCUAUCGCUCUGGCUGCAGGAAGAGAAUAGCUUUCAGCUCAAUUACCCUCACAUUGCAAUAUCAUAACGCUCCAAUGAGGCUUUUUAACCAAAAACAAAAAAGCCGUGUCUGCUGCAGGACGGCUGCGAGGCCAGCCGUGCAGAAGGGAUGGACCUGCCCGGCUGAGGGCCCCUACCAGGCCCCAUGGAUUACAGUACCGGGGGUGCUUGUUCUGAGCACCAGGUAAAGCCAGAGUAUCCUGGAGUCUGGAACCUAAAUUCACCAACAUGUGUCCUGCGCAAGUUCACUGGCCACUGGGACAUGACUGACCCAUGACCUUUGUUAGGACACAUUUCCAAAUCUUACUGGUCGGGGAAGAACCGGGUCCAUCUGAACACUGUGCUCGUGACGGGGGAAAAAAGACUGGGUGUCCUGGCUGCAAGCCACACAGAUUCCAUGAAUCCUCAGAAAGGCACACAGUCCUCACAUGUCUCAGACACAUCCUACCAUAGAGGCCUCGGACUAGCUGUGUUCGAAGGAGGAGGCCAGCCAGCCACUUUUCCAAUCAGCCGAGACUCAUCCGCCUGGCCAGCACACUGCUAAUGGCCUUGCUGGCCACGUCCCCUCCCUCUGUCCUCUUACCCUCCUGCUGGCUGCAGCUGAUUUGUUCAUGAUUUAACGCUCUGGGGCGCUGACCCAUGAGAGAGACACUGGGACAGAAGGAGGCAGGGAGGACACCCGGAGAGGGGCAUUGCCAGGCCCUUUGUUGUAAGAACCUGAAGCUGACGGAUACCCCCAUGUCAUCAGCUGGCUGUGGCAGGGACAUAAACAGAUGAAGAACAUCAUUGCUACAAUUAUUCAACCUUCCCUAUACCCAGGACUCCUAGACUUGGUCCUUACAGAUUGUUAGACAGACUUAUUAUUUUCAACCCACUGGCCAGAGAUUGGGCUGCUGAUACGAACGGCAACUUGGAAGGAGGCAGAAGAUGCUGGAACACAAUAAGAGUCGCCUCAAAGAAUCCUCCCCCUCCCCUUCCACCUCCUGACUCAGGGCUGUUCCCUGGAGACAGCAAAACCCUACUACUGACCCCAAACCCUGAGUGGAUGCUGCACGGGCAAGAUGCAGGCAGACUCAUUUUGGCGCAGCAAAAACAGUACACGUACAAAGGCAUGAGUGGGAGACAGCACAGUGCACCCCAGAAAUAGACAUCAAGGUCACCUGAGAAGAGGGAAGGAGUUGGAAGAACUGUGAGGUCCUGGCCAGGCCUGUUUCCUGAAUAUUUGCUUACCGGAGUGUGGUAAGCACUCCGGCAGGUGAAAGAGUUGUCACCUCUCCAGGUGCCGGAGAAAGAAGUUGUCACCUCUCCCGGGAGCUGCUUCAGUAACACACUGGCACAGAGCACACCAGUGAGUGACCUGUGCCACUCCCACGAGGCUUCACAUCCCACAUCUUCCCAACACUCAUCCCGACUACAUAGGCCCUGUUUCUGUUGCUAUAACCAAAUAGCUGAG